rnacentral:tRNA from 1 species
GGUGCGGUAGCAAAGCGGUUAUGCUCUGGACUGCAAAUCCAGCUAGGUGGGUUCGACUCCCUCCCGCACCU